rnacentral:lncRNA from 1 species
UUAGGUCUUCUUUUAUUUUCUCUUUUUUUUUCUUAUGACAUGAGUAGCUAAUCUCAUAGAUUUUUCGUUGGGAUGUAAGAAUUGAGCCAUGAUACUCUCCCUAAAGAUAUAGGGUCGGCAAUUUGUUGGAUUAUUGGAUUUGAAUAAAUGAUUUCUUGAUUGUUGUACUUUAAACCUAGUUCUUGCCAAGACUUGAAUGGGGUAAAAUCUAUGACUUCUUUUGCUUGAAGACUUGGAUUUCAUAUGUUAGCAAUCUAAGAUAGAAGAAAGCUAUCAGUGGAUCAC